UACAGAGGUCUCAAGCGUUGUUCGGAUUCAUUGGGCGUAAAGAGCGCGCAGGCGGUCGUCCAAGUCGCGUGUGAAAGCCCCCGGCUCAACUGGGGAGGGUCACGCGAUACUGGUCGACUCGAAGGCAGGAGAGGGUAGUGGAAUUCCCGGUGUAGUGGUGAAAUGCGUAGAUAUCGGGAGGAACACCAGUGGCGAAGGCGGCGACCUGGGUCGAGACUGACGCUGAGGCGCGAAAGCGUGGGGAGCAAACAGG
rnacentral:rRNA from 1 species